AUGGAUGAACAUAUGGUAAUUGUUGUUGCGGUAGAACUAGUUGUUGGUGUUGCAAAAAUGGUGGUUGUUGUGGUAGAAUUGGUUGUUGUUGUUGUUGCGAAAAUGGUGGUUGUUGCGGUAGAACUGGUUGUUGCUGCUGCUGAGAAAAUGGUGGUUGUUGCUGUGAAAAUGGUGGUUGUUGUUGCUGCGGAAAUGGUUGUUGUUGCUGCAAAAAUGGUGGUUGUUGCGGUAGAACUGGUUGUUGUUGCUGCGAUAAUGGUGGUUGUUGCUGUGAAAAUGGUGGUUGUUGUAGCUGCGAUAAUGGUGGUUGUUGUUGCUGUGAACAUGGUGGCUGUUGUGGAAAUGGUUGUGGUUGUUGUUGGAUGGGUUGUUGUUGGUGGUACCAUAAGAUUUAUUGUAGUGGUAAUGGUUGUUGUUGCGAUGGUUUCUCCAAGCCAGGGUUGUGGCUAG
rnacentral:rRNA from 1 species